rnacentral:rRNA from 1 species
GACAGAGGUGCCGAGCGUUAGGCGGAAUCACUGGGCUUAAAGCGUGUGUAGGCGGGUCGUUAAGUGUCUUGUGAAAUCCCCCGGCUCAACCGGGGAAUGGCUGGGCAUACUGGCGAUCUUGAGCAGUCUAGGGGCAGAUGGAACAAGUGGUGGAGCGGUGAAAUGCGUAGAUAUCACUUGGAACGCCAAAGGUGAAAACAGUCUGCUGGGGACUUGCUGACGCUGAGACACGAAAGCGUGGGGAGCAAACAGG